rnacentral:rRNA from 1 species
AAAGUUGAAAAGAACUUUGAAGAGAGAGUUCAAGAGUACGUGAAACCGUUCAGGGGUAAACCUGAGAAACCCAAAAGAUCGAAUGGAGAGAUUCAGCGUCAGCUCAUUAUUGUAUAUAUACAAGUUAUGAUGUGAGUUACUACUUGUAGUAUUGCUUAUACAUUCUUGUAUAUUUAGUUGCAAUAAUAUUGUCGGCGUGCACUUCUCUCCUAGUAGAACGUCGUGACUCGUUGAGUGUUGGUUUACGGCCCAAGUGAUGUGACUUUAAUAUUUUUGUAUGAAAAUAUUAAAAAUCCUUGGUGUUUUUCAACCAUCUACUCGACGGUAUUCAUACGGUAUUAAGCCGCAUAAAUUUAUGCGUUCAUAUCCAUCGCAAGCAUGGUCAAUUUCUAAUAGUGUGGACCUAGUGCCGCCGUUAGAAUUUUCCAGCUGUUAGCUGUAUGGUAUUCUAGAACUGGCUUAAAAUUUUACCGGUCAGCGAUGCUACUGCUUUGGGUACUUUCAGGACCCGUCUUGAAACACGGACCAAGGAGUCUAACAUGUGCGCAAGUCAUUGGGAUUUUUUUAAUAAUUAAACCUAAAGGCGUAAUGAAAGUAAAGAUUGACCUUGCGUCAAUUAAAGGAGGAUGAUUUGUAUUAAUGAUACAAUUCCGCACUCCUGGGGCAUCUCAUUCUCAUUAUGAGAAGAGGCGCACCUAGAGCGUACACGUU